rnacentral:ribozyme from 1 species
GAGUGACAGCAAAACAAAGAUUUCCUUCACCGACAAUCCCCUCUUCUCUUUAAUUCCCCCUUUUUUUCCUUUUUUUCUCUUCUUCUUCUUCCUUUUCACCUCUCCGUUGUUGUUGUUGUUGUUGUUAUUUUAAGCAU